CAGCAGAAGAGUCGGCAUUUACACAGAAUGCGGACACAACAUUAUUUUCACGUGGAGUAAUUGACGGAGAGAUCCUCCUCGGCGAGUUUGAAAAAUGGAUAAAAAUACAAAAAAUCAGCAAUCGGGACACAUUUAUGAAUAAGGAUCACUACAUGCUUCUCACAGCACGAGAAAUUGCUCUGACCGGAAACGCCGGUGCUGCAGGUUAUGCAUAUACUGGAGAAAUAUGCACUGAUAAGUCUGUAUCAAUCGUAGAAGACAAGAUUAAUUUUAUAUCCGUGGUAACAGCGGCACAUGAACUCGGCCACAGGUAAUUCUGAGUUUGUA